GUGUCAGCAGCCGCGGUAAUACGGAAGGGGCAAGCGUUGUUCGGAAUCAUUGGGCGUAAAGGGCGCGUAGGUGGUCUUGUGUGUCUAUCGUGAAAGCACACGGCUCAACCGUGUAAGGUCGGUGGAAACUGCAGGACUUGAGGUUGGGAGGGGCUGGUGGAAUUCCCUGUGUAGCGGUGAAAUGCGUAGAGAUGGGGGAGAACACUUGUGGCGAAGGCGGCCAGCUGGACCAAUCCUGACACUGAGGCGCGACAGCGUGGGGAGCAAACAGGAUUAGAUACCCGUGUAGUCC
rnacentral:rRNA from 1 species